rfam:Corchorus olitorius cultivar O-4 contig22755, whole genome shotgun sequence.
UAUUGAUGGUGAGGACAUUGGCUGAGCAAUUCUCUAUAUCUUUCCCAUGCCUCAUGUAGUUCUUCAUCGUCUUGCUGCUUGAAAUCAUGAAUCUGUCUUCUCAGUUC